rnacentral:rRNA from 1 species
UACGAAGGAGGCUAGCGUUGCUCGGAAUCACUGGGCGUAAAGGGUGCGUAGGCGGGUCUUUAAGUCAGGGGUGAAAUCCUGGAGCUCAACUCCAGAACUGCCUUUGAUACUGAAGAUCUUGAGUUCGGGAGAGGUGAGUGGAACUGCGAGUGUAGAGGUGAAAUUCGUAGAUAUUCGCAAGAACACCAGUGGCGAAGGCGGCUCACUGGCCCGGUACUGACGCUGAGGCACGAAAGCGUGGGGAGCAAACAGG